UACGGGAGGCAGCAGUGGGGAAUAUUGCACAAUGGGCGAAAGCCUGAUGCAGCUAUGCCGCGUGUAUGAAGAAGGCCUUAGGGUUGUAAAGUACUUUCAUCGGGGAGGAAAAAACAAAACUAAUAAUUUUAUUUCUUGACGUUACCCGAAAAAGAAGCACCGGCUAACUCCGUGCCAGCAGCCGCGGUAAUACGGAGGGUGCUAGCGUUAAUCAGAAUUACUGGGCGUAAAGAGCACGUAGGUGGUUUUUUUAAGUCAGAUGUGAAAUCCCUGGGCUUAACCUAGGAACUGCAUUUUGAAACUGAAAUAACUAGAGUAUCGUAGAGGGAGGGUAGAAUUCUAGGUGUAGCGGUGAAAUGCGUAGAUAUCUGGAGGAAUACCUGUGGCGAAAGCGGCCUCCUAAACGAAUACUGACACUGAGGUGCGAAAGCGUGGGGAGCAAACAGGGAUUUAGGAUACC
rnacentral:rRNA from 1 species